rnacentral:rRNA from 1 species
UACGGAGUGUGCAAGCGUUACUCGGAAUCACUGGGCAUAAAGCGCGCGUAGGCGGGUAUUCAAGUCGGUUGUGAAAUCCCCAGGCUCAACUUGGGAACUGCAUCCGAUACUGGAUGGCUUGAAUCCGGGAGAGGGAUGCAGAAUUCCAGGUGUAGCGGUGAAAUGCGUAGAUAUCUGGAGGAAUACCGGUGGCGAAGGCGGCAUCCUGGACCGGCAUUGACGCUGAUGAGCGAAAGCUAGGGGAGCAAACGGG